UACAGAGGUCUCGAGCGUUGUUCGGAUUCAUUGGGCGUAAAGGGUGCGUAGGUGGCGCCGUAAGUCGGGUGUGAAAUUUCGGAGCUUAACUCCGAAACUGCAUUCGAUACUGCGGUGCUUGAGGACUGGAGAGGAGACUGGAAUUCAUGGUGUAGCAGUGAAAUGCGUAGAUAUCGUAAGGAAGACCAGUGGCGAAGGCGGGUCUCUGGACAGUUCCUGACGCUGAGGCACGAAGGCCAGGGGAGCAAACAGG
rnacentral:rRNA from 1 species